rnacentral:snRNA from 1 species
UUGUAAAUUCUUUAAAAAUCUUUU